rnacentral:rRNA from 1 species
AUGAACGCUAGCGGCAGGCUUAACACAUGCAAGUCGAGGGGCAGCACUUGUAGCAAUACAUGGUGGCGACCGGCGCAAGGGUGCGUAACGCGUGAGCAACAUGCCCGUAUCAGGGGGAUAAUCCAGGGAAACUUGGUCUAAUACCCCAUAGCAAUUAUUUGAGGCAUCUUAAAUAAUUUAAAGCUUUGGUGGAUACGGAUUGGCUCGCGUGACAUUAGCUAGAUGGUAAGGUAACGGCUUACCAUGGCUACGGUGUCUAGGGGUUCUGAGAGGAAGAUCCCCCACACUGGAACUGAGACACGGUCCAGACUCCUACGGGAGGCAGCAGUGAGGAAUAUUGGACAAUGGAUGGAAAUCUGAUCCAGCCAUGCCGCGUGCAGGAAGACGGCCCUAUGGGUUGUAAACUGCUUUUGUGUGGGAGCAAUAAGGUCUAUGCGUAGACUGAUGAGAGUACCAUACGAAUAAGCAUCGGCUAACUCCGUG